UUCCGGUUGAUCCUGCCGGACCCGACUGCUAUCGGAUUGAGAUUUAGCCAUGCGAGUCGAACGCCUUCCUGUUGCGGGAGGCGUGGCGUACGGCUCAGUAACACGUAGUCAACCCGCCCUAGAGACAUGAAUAACCCCGGGAAACUGGGAUUAAUACAUGAUAGAUCAUCUCAUCUGGAAGGAGAGAUGGUUUAAAGGGGUGCGCGAGCUUCUUUUGUGCAUCCGCUCUAGGAUGGGACUGCGGCCGAUCAGGCUGUUGGUGGGGUAAUGGCCCACCAAACCUGUAACCGGUACGGGCCUUGAGAGAGGGGGCCCGGAGAUGGACACUGAGAGAAGGGUCCAGGUCCUACGGGGCGCAGCAGGCGCGAAACCUUCGCAAUGCGCGAAAGCGUGACGAGGUUAAUCCGAGUGGUUCCCGCUGAGGGAAUCUUUUGUUGGCUCUAAAAUGGCCAGUGAAUAAGGGGAGGGCAAGUCUGGUGUCAGCCGCCGCGGUAAUACCAGCUCCUCGAGUGGUCGGGGCGAUUAUUGGGCCUAAAGCAUCCGUAGCCGGUUCUGUAGGUCUUCUGUUAAAUCCAACGGCUUAACCGUUGGCCUGCAGAAGAUACCGCAGGACUAGGAGGCGGGAGAGGUGGACGGUACUCCACGUGUAGGGGUAAAAUCCUUUGAUCCGUGGAAGACCACCAGUGGCGAAGGCGGUCCACCAGAACGCGCUCGACGGUGAGGGAUGAAAGCUGGGGGAGCGAACCGGAUUAGAUACCCGGGUAGUCCCAGCCGUAAACGAUGCGAGCUAGAUGAUCCAAUCGCAAAUCGCGAUUGGAGUGUCGCAGGGAAGCCGUUAAGCUCGCCGCCUGGGGAGUACGGUCGCAAGACUGAAACUUAAAGGAAUUGGCGGG
rnacentral:rRNA from 1 species